rnacentral:rRNA from 1 species
CCUACGGGUGGCUGCAGUGAGGAAUAUUGGUCAAUGGUCGCGAGCCUGAACCAGCCAAGUCGCGUGAGGGAGGACUGUCCUGCGGGUUGUAAACUUCUUUUGUAAGGGAAUAAAGUCAGGCACGCGUGCCUUGUUGUAUGUACUUUAUGAAUAAGCAUCGGCUAACUCCGUGCCAGCAGCCGCGGUAAUACGGAGGAUCCGAGCGUUAUCCGGAUUUAUUGGGUUUAAAGGGUGCGCAGGCGGGCCUUUAAGCCGGCGGUGAAAUCCCGGGGCUCAACCCCGGCGAGCCGUUGGAACUGGGAGUCUUGAGUGCGGGGGAGGCAUGCGGAAUGCGCGGUGUAGCGGUGAAAUGCAUAGAUAUCGCGCAGAACCCCGAUUGCGAAGGCAGCGUGCCGUGUCGACACUGACGCUGAGGCACGAAAGCGCGGGGAUCGAACAGGAUUAGAUACCCCAGUAGUC